UUCGCGCUCAGCCUCCGACGUGCAUCGACGGACGGACGUCCAGCCGGGAGGGUCGAGGGCUGUCUCUGAGGGUUUUUCACCGCGGAUUAUUUCCGGAGUUACAGACGUCGCGAUAUCGCGUUCAGUUUCAUCGAGACCAACACCGAGUGCAUCUUCUUUCACCGAAGGCAAUCUUGAGAUGCGGAGACUUCUAGGCAUGUGUUGAACAUAGAGUCUGGACUACUGGCAUGGAGUUUGAUCUGCUGCCUUUUCUUCUUUUACUGUCAGCAUGUAGCUUCGAGCUCGCGGUCGGUCAGCAGGGCCCAUUUUUCAUCCAAGAACCACCCAGCACUCUGGUAUUCUCCAACACAACCGGGUCUCAGCUGAGUUGUUCCGCUCAUGGAAGUCCGACUCCGCAUGUCACGUGGACGACAAGUCCCGACCAGAGGCCGGUUACGGCAGUACCUGGUCUACGGCAACUGUUGGGUAACGGAACACUCUAUUUCCCACCGUUCUUGGCCCAAGAUUUCCGGGCUGAAGUACACAGUGCCCGGUACAGAUGCAGGGCGUCAAAUUCCAUAGGAACGGUUCUUUCGAGAGAAGUCACCCUGCGAGCUGUACUCACCGUUUCCGGAUACGACGUCAGGGUGAACAGAGCUCCUGUGGUUACGGGAUGCAACGCUGUUUUGUCCUGCACCACACGCGAAGACGUCAAGGAGCAUUUGACGGUCACAUCUUGGUUCCGGGAUGACGCCAUCUUACUUCCAGGGAGUACCGACACCGGCGGAAGAUUCGUCGUGACGUCACAAGGCGAGCUACAUAUCCGAGCUGCAAGGGCGGAAGACGGUAGAGCAACUUAUUCAUGCCUUACACUUCACUCUUUGACUGGUGAACGUCGGCGAAGCGAUCCCGCCACUCUGACGGUUACAGAACAAAGUGGAUCGAUGCGUCCCACGCUCACCCAACGUUCGCAGAUGGUUAUUUCUGCUGAGAAAGGAUCCAACACUCACAUCACAUGCUCCGCUCAGGGAAGUCCACCUCCGGUAUUUACGUGGUACAAGGAUGUCGAUGGUCACCUAAUUCCGGUUGAAUCGUCGAGUCGAAUUCAGCUCUGGGGAGAUCUGAUGCAGAUACGUCGCGUGGAUGCCCAAGAUGCUGGGAGAUACGUUUGCCGAGCGAGUAACCAGUUUGGGGAACAAAGGGCGGAAACCCACUUGGCCGUCACUUCAAAGCUUAACGCCAGGAUUCACCCUCAAAUUCAGACGGUGCAUUCUGGGGCCAUCGCCACGAUGAAUUGCACGGUAGAGGGUUACCCGGUGGAGAGUGUCGAAUGGCUCCACGAUGGAGUGGCUGUGCUUACUGGACAAGAUUCAAGGAUUAAUUUGCAAACACCUUUGGUCUUGGUGGUCAGUUUUGUGGGUCGCAGAGACAGGGGCAUGUAUCAAUGUUUGGUGAGAAGCGACAAGGAGAACGCUCAAGCUACUGCGGAGGUUCAGCUGGGUGAUACUGUGCCUGAACUCCAGUACACGUUCAUCGAGCAAGCUCUGACCGCUGGACGUCCCGUGUCUCUCCGUUGCUCGGCAACCGGUUCUCCGCCACCAUCGUUCACCUGGCUGCUAGACGGUCAGCCGUUGGGCGAUAUAGUGGCAGGCCACAGAUACGCAAUAGGUCAGUACGUUGACCAAUCUGGUGACGUCAUCAGCCACCUUAAUAUAUCAUCGGCGGGAUCCGAGGACGGUGGUCUCUACACCUGUGUCGCCGCGAAUGCUCUUGCGAGCGUUGAGCACAAAGCAAGACUGAAUAUUUACGGUUCGCCUUACAUCAGGUCUAUUGCACCGGUGCGAGCAAUAGCCGGAAAGGACAUAACGAUUGCGUGUCCUUACUCUGGCUAUCCAAUAACAUCAGUAGAGUGGUCAAAGGGCGGAGUUCAACUGCCGUUGGACAUUAGGCAAAAGCUGAACGAAGGUUUGCUGACUAUAACCUCGGUGGAUACAAACGACAACGGGACGUACACAUGCACCGUGCGUAGGUCAGGAGAAACUGCCAGCAGAGACAUAGUACUCACUGUUAGUAGUCCGCCGGUUAUGACACCCUUUAGUUUUGACCAAAACUUGCAAGAAGGAAAAUGGGCGCAGGCGACCUGCAGCGUAACUUCCGGAGACCUUCCAAUUUACUUCACGUGGCUGAAGGACGGGGAACAGAUACCACCGUCGCUUCGAAUCGAGGAACAGGUUCAAACGUUUUAUAGUCUGUUACUUUUUCACGAAGUUUCAUCACGCCAUAGUGGAAAAUACACUUGUAUAGCAACCAAUCAUGCUGCCAAAGUAAAUCACACUGCCGAACUACUGGUAAAAGUUCCUCCGCAAUGGACUUUCGAGCCUCAGGAUGUAUCCACCCUGCUCGGAAAUCCGUUGAACAUACAUUGCGAGGCCAAAGGAUUUCCUCCCCCGCAAAUCACUUGGCUUCGGGGUCAGGGAAGAUCGUCUAAUGACUUUCAACCGCUGAUCGUAUUGGAUGGCAGGAUAACCAUCCAGCCAAAUGGUUCUCUGUGGACAGCUUCUGCCGGCCCACAAGACGAAGGACAUUAUCUGUGCCGAGCAAACAAUGGCAUCGGCCUGGGCCUCAACAAACUAAUCUACGUCUCAGUGAACGAACCGGCAAGAUUCGAGAUCCAGAGUAAAAACGUAACUAUCAGACGCGGCGAACCGGUGAGUCUCGACUGUUCCGUCAUUGGAGAUAAUCCAAUCGAAGUUCAAUGGACCCAUAAUAACAACCGCCUGGACUUGAACAAUUAUCGUUUAAGCAUCAGUCAAGUUAAGUCCGAAGAAGGGUUGAAAUCACAAUUAUCAAUUGGACGAAGUGAUCGCCAAGAUUCCGGGGUUUACAGAUGUGUUGCGAGUAACGUGUUUGGAAUAAGCGAGCAUCUCAUAUAUCUGGCUAUUCAAGAAAGGCCGGAUCCACCGAUGGCGCUCGAAGUUAUAGAAAUCGGUUCCAGAUCAAUCCGGCUUUCUUGGAAGCAGUCUUUCGACGGGAACAGUCCAAUAAUCAAUUAUGCAAUUCAGUAUCGUCCGCUUGGUCUCGGCGUUACCGAAGAGUGGGACUCUCCUCAGACGCACAAUAUAACGAUCAACGCCAAAACCACGAGUAUAGGUGGAGCGACGAAUCCGACGCUAAAUGGAUUGACUCACUACGACACGAUGAGUGCGGAACAGGAAAUGGCGUUGGUCGGAGGUCUCCAUCCGGCAGUAACUUACACAUUCAGAAUGUUCGCCGUAAAUGCCAUUGAAGCUAGUGCGCCCACAGACCCAGUGGUGGCUAAGACUCAAGAAGAAGCACCAAUGGAUUCCCCUCAAAGCGUUAGUGUCCAGAGUGCAGGUCCCGGCGAGCUGAUCGUCAGCUGGCAGACUCCGUCAAGAGACAUGUGGAACGGUGAACUCCUUGGUUACAUAGUGACCUGGUCCGAGCACUCCACGUCGACUUCGGGCGUCAAUCAAAGCAAGAGCCUGACGGUAAAUGGUUGGGCAACGACGAAAAUUCAGCUCACCGGACUUCGGAAAUUCACUAAAUACGAUGUUACGGUUAGAGCAUUCAACAGCAUCGCUAGUGGACCGGCAAGCAAUCCAGUUGUGGGAACAACUCAGGAAGGCGUACCCGAAGCACCUCCAGCACAAGUAAUGUGCACCCCACUGUCAUCACAAAGCGUCAAAGUGUCUUGGGCUGCACCCCCAGCGCAUCAGCAUGGCGGUAUCAUUCAAGGGUACAAAGUCUACUACAGACCUGUUCCCACUGAUAACAUGGAAAUAUCGACAGUCGGUGAAGUGAAGCGAACUUCAAGUGAAGAGACGUACCUGCACACUUUGUACAAAUACACAAACUACUCGAUAAGGGUCUUGGCCUACACUGGAGCAGGUGAUGGAGAACUGAGUCUUCCAACGUAUUGCUCAACCGAAGAGGAUGUUCCGGGACCACCGGCUGGAAUCAAAGCAUUGGCAUUGACCGCUGACAGCAUUCUCGUGUCUUGGUUGCCACCGCUGCAACCGAAUGGACACGUUUCCCUCUACACAGUGUACAGUAGAGAGGCUGGGGCCACCCGAAAUAACACUCAUACGAUGCAUGAUCCACCGUCUUCCGCGAGCGACACUUUGACUAUGGAAUUAAGAGGCUUGACCGUAAGACAGCUAUACGAGUUUUGGGUUACUGCAACCACAGGGCUUGGAGAGGGUGAACGAACUACUAUCGUUACUCAAACCACGGACACUCGAAUUCCAGCCAGAGUCGCGUCCUUCUCCCAGAUCAUGCGAAAGGCCGUCAAAUCUUCGGUCACGUUGCCGUGUCUUGUGGUUGGAAAUCCCACCCCCCGUCCAAAGUGGACUUAUAAAAACAGCGAAAUAUCGACUGGAAGACAUUACGAGCUAACAUCAGAAGGACAUCUUAACAUUCACAGCCUGGAGCAGUCAGUAGCAGGGAAUUAUACAUGCUCUGCUAACAACUUGUUUGGGGAUGAUUCAGUUACAUACACUGUAAUUGUUGUGAUGCCUCCGCGAGCGCCUAAACUCGAAUUGCAGUACACAACACCGCACAGUAUUCGACUGCGCUGGAAUCAUCCUGAUAAUGGUGGUGCUACCAUCCAAGGGUACGUGUUGAGCUACAAAAGAGAUCGAGAUGGAUGGGAAGAAAUUGCGGUUUCACCGGAGCAGACGGCGUACACAUUGAGUGACCUCAAGUGCGGUUCAUCGUAUCUCGCCCAUUUGACUGCCCACAACAGAGUUGGCACUGGUGAACCGAGUGGAUUGAUCAGUGCCACAACGAAAGGCAGUGCUCCACUGCUACCAAAGGAGAGAGAUAUCAUCUCCGCAAACUCGACGACUCUUCGAUUAAAUCUUCUUUCCUGGCCGACUGGCGGCUGCCCCAUUCUCUACUACACAGUUGAGUACAAAAAACGAAGCGGCUCAGAGUCAUGGAUCAUGGUAGCGAACCGAGCCACAGAAAAUCUGGUCAUCAGAGACUUGAAACCAGCCUCGUGGUAUAAUGUGAGACUCACAGCUCACAAUGACGCCGGAGCGAAAGAGACGCAGAUGGAAUUUGCAACGACAACCAUAACGGGCGUCAGCAUUGGUCCACCCAAUGAUCUGAUAAUGGACAACGACGCGCCAAAGGGCGCUCCGACACACAGAAUUCUCUAUAUCGUCAUCCCCGUUGUAUGCGCCCUCGUCUUGGUGCUUUGCACCAUUCUACUCGGAUACGUAGUCCUCAAACGUGGCAGAGAGUGGCGGCUACCUAGGGGAGAUGUUGGCGGGUCAACAGCAGCAGCAGCUCCAACAGCCGGUUGGUAUGGGCUUGGCCCAGCAGAUGCAGCCCGGGAUGCAGCAGUUGGGCCACCAGCCCCACCAUUUAUCUAGCUGCAUGUCAACGGUCCAACUGAAAUCGACGGCUGAACGUGACAAUCGUCGAAACCACCAGGUCUAUACAAGCUCGCCGGUUAAACAGGAAAACCUCAAACCGAACGAUCAUGGGUCAGAAAUGUACGAAAUCAGUCCGUACGCAACGUUCAGCGUACCUGGACGGGAAAACCGGUCAGUCACCACCGCCACUUUGGACUACACGAUGCAGUUUAAGACCUUCGGCCACUUGGAGAACGAGGACAUCAACAU
rnacentral:misc_RNA from 1 species